CUCCCGCAAAAUCAUGCAUUUUGGCCCGCAACAAUCUCAAAAAAAGGCCGCGAAAUCCUGGAGGGACUGUUUAAGAGAAGUGAAACAAAUAACUAAACAUAGCUAAUAGCUAAAAAGAAAUAGCAAAGUUUUUGCACAGCAAAAGGUCCCCAGUGCAGCUGGAAACCUAAGUAUUGCAAGUUUCGAAGCAUCGGUAACAGCAGAUUUGCACUCACCUCAACCUAGAGAAAACCACAACAUGAAAAAAAGAGGAAGUAUAUGUUGUCGGUUUAACCUUUGCAGUCUCUGUGCACGAAUUAGCAUUUUGCUGUCAAAUUUUGGAAAUAUCGCUGAAAAAUUUCUUAUGAGCUUAAUCAGCAUUUCACAAAAACAAGUCAUUUUGAAAUCAUUAUACUCUAUAUUCUAUCAUGCAGACUGACUAGCCAAGUGGAUAUUAUGCAUACCAUAUCCUAACUGCAACAUCCUCGGUUUGAUUUAAGUUGGCCACCUUUGUUGCACGUCACCCCCCCUCUCUCUCAAGGCAUCUCCUUACUGUAGCCCACAUAAUGGCAAAAUGCCAAAAAACAUAAUGGCAAAGUGGCAAAAAAUAUUCAGUGAAAAAAAAAAAAACUCAUCCAAUUACCUGGAUGCAUAAAUGAAUUUCUAUAGAGCCAAGACAUGCAACUGUUUUCACACCGUAAGGUUUAACCUUCAGUAAUAAACUGACUUUGACGUGUAAAAUUGGUGAAGUGCCCCUUUAAAAGUACACAUUCUCAUUAAUGACAGUAGUAUUCUGUAAAACUAACCAUAUUUUCCAGGUGGGGCAGUUUCUAAAUUUUCAUUGGCUGAAUUUAGAACUGCAAAAAUGAAUCGAUUUGCUAUUAAUCGACAAUGAAAAUAAUUGUUAAUUACAGCCAUUGCUGAAUUACAUCAUACAAUAUUUCCAGUAUUUUUCACCUUUAUUCAGUCCCUCCAGGAUUUCGCAAUGUCACGAUCGCGCCAAUUCACGCGAAUUCAACCAAUCACCGCGAAUUUGGUGUGACUCGCAAUUUUGACCAAUCACUGCAACUUUUUCACAAAUUUGACCAGUAACCUGAAG